rnacentral:rRNA from 1 species
AUACGUAGGGUGCGAGCGUUGUCCGGAAUUACUGGGCGUAAAGAGCUCGUAGGUGGUUUGUCGCGUCGUCUGUGAAAUUCCGGGGCUUAACUCCGGGCGUGCAGGCGAUACGGGCAUAACUUGAGUACUGUAGGGGAGACUGGAAUUCCUGGUGUAGCGGUGAAAUGCGGAGAUAUCAGGAGGAACACCGGGGGCGAAGGCGGGUCUCUGGGCAGUAACUGACGCUGAGGAGCGAAAGCAUGGGUAGCGAACAGGAUUAGAUACCCUGGUAGUCCAUGCCGUAAACGGUGGGCGCUAGGUGUAGGGGUCUUCCACGACUUCUGUGCCGUAGCUAACGCAUUAAGCGCCCCGCCUGGGGAGUACGGCCGCAAGGCUAAAACUCAAAUGAAUUGACGGGG